UUCCGCUCUGGCGGCUGUCGCGACGGGGGUUCAGGGAAUAUUUACUGGGCCUCUCCGCUCCCUCUGCUCUUGGAGGUGCCAUGAGGUCAGUUAGCUACGUGCAGCGCGUGGCGCUGGAGUUCAGCGGGAGCCUCUUCCCGCACGCAAUCUGCCUCGGAGACGUUGAUAACGAUACGUUAAAUGAACUGGUGGUGGGAGACACCAGCGGGAAGGUGUCUGUGUAUAAAAAUGAUGACAGUCGGCCAUGGCUCACCUGUUCCUGCCAGGGAAUGGUCAGUAUUCACUUCCCUGGGCCUGGAGGGGGGAAGGGAUCCCUUCUGUCCGGGGACCGCCUAGGGUGAGCCCCACACAGGUGCUCACCCAUGUGUCCUGACUCCCUAGCUACUGAGCCCAGCCACUGACUUGCAGCCAAUUUGAUUCAGGGAGGGCAGCCCCCAGCUAGUGCUCCCAUCUGUCCUCACACACGCGUGCGUGGGCUGGGGUGUUUUUGUGUCGUGGAGUACUCCUUGACACUUUAUGGAAGUUGCCUAAGGUUGCCUAAUCUUAAAGUAUAGUCAAAAAUGGGGGCAAUAAUUUGAAUAAGUCUAGAAAUGUGAUAGCCUAGCUCUAUUAAAUACAGAGUUUCUAUUUUAUUUUAAGUGCAGGUUGUCUUAACCGCCUCAGGUCUUCAUGUUGCUGUCUGGGUAAACCAAACCUACAGCACAGUAACGCCGUUAAUAAAGACCAUCACCAUGGUUCAUAUGGCGAAAGUCUUCAGUGAGCGAUGGUGAUUCGAAAACCUGCCCGCUCCUCCUGCUUCACAGAGAUCAGGGAGUACUGGUCUCCCUUAGCGUCUCCCUGAGCCUCCCUUUCUCUCUUACAGCUGACUUGCGUUGGGGUUGGAGACGUAUGUAAUAAAGGAAAGAACCUGUUGGUGGCAGUGAGUGCUGAAGGCUGGUUUCAUUUGUUUGACCUGACACCUGCCAAGGUGUUGGAUGCUUCUGGGCACCACGAGACACUAAUCGGAGAGGAGCAGCGUCCAGUCUUCAAGCAGCACAUCCCCGCCAACACCAAGGUCAUGCUGAUCAGCGACAUCGGUGGGCAUGCCUACCUUUGCAGGCAGCCAGGAGAGUAGGAGUCAGUGGAUACUAGAGCAGAUCCCAAGGGAUUGGGGUGAGAGGGAGAAUCCGUAUUCAUGUAUGCAUUUGUUAUGUGCUGAGCUCCCAUGAUAAGCCAGGCAUCACUCAAGGCACUGGAAUUGCCGUAGUGAAUAAAUAGACAAAAAUUGCUGCCCUCCUGGGCCUUAUUAUGAAGAGACAGAAAAGAAACAAUAUAGGCUAGGUGUGCUGCCUCUCGCCUGUGACACCAACGCUUUGGGAGGCUGAGAUGGGAGGAUCACUUGAGGCCAGGAGUUCCAGGCUGUAGUGAGCUAUGAUCUCACCACUGCACUCCACUCCAGCGUGGGACCCUGUCUCUAUUU
rnacentral:sRNA from 1 species